rnacentral:rRNA from 1 species
GGCCUACGGGAGGCAGCAGUGGGGAAUAUUGCACAAUGGGGGGAACCCUGAUGCAGCGACGCCGCGUGAGUGAAGAAGUAUUUCGGUACGUAAAGCUCUAUCAGCAGGGAAGAAAAAAGGACGGUACCUGACUAAGAAGCCCCGGCUAACUACGUGCCAGCAGCCGCGGUAAUACGUAGGGGGCGAGCGUUAUCCGGAUUCACUGGGUGUAAAGGGAGCGUAGACGGCCAAGCAAGCCAGGGGUGAAAGCCCGGGGCCCAACCCCGGGACUGCCCUUGGAACUGCUUGGCUGGAGUGCGGGAGGG